UAGCCAGCGAGUACGUGAGCGCACGUAGGCACCAUCGCUUUCGAGGAUGCGAGAGCCAUCUCAGCUUGAGAGAAUGCGCAUACCAUCUCCAGUGUGUGCAACAAGUGUUCCUCUAAACGUCUGAGCGUAAAGACUACUCAUGGGUGAUGCUUCUGUGACCAGACCUCUAUAAAAUCACAAGAUAGUUUCAGUGUUGUUGUUCUCAAUCAUGUUACCCUUAAGUGCAAGACAUCAAUUUGCUCUUAAGUAAAAGGGAAAUUUGAGCAGGAAAGGUAAGCAAUUCGAAGCAAGCUCCCGAGAUAAAUUUUCUUUUGGUUUAGCUAACGAAUGCCUUGGUAUAGGUCUAAUCUCUCCUUCCUAGAGAUGGUUCUUUCUUAUUUCUUUUACGGGGACUUACUUUUGUUUCUUUAAUUAGGAUACCUUCACCUGGUAUUUUUUGUUUUAAUUAAUGAAUAUAGAUCAGUUGCAUUGUUUUGUCUCAACCAAGCUAGCCGUAUAGUAGAAAUUCAGCAUGCACACAAGGUGAUCUGGUUGAGUUUUACUAGGUAACCGUACCAUUGUUGUCUGCAUGCUGAA